UACGGAGGGUGUAAGCGUUAUCCGGAUUCACUGGGUUUAAAGGGUGCGUAGGCGGGCAGGUAAGUCAGUGGUGAAAUCUUUGGGCUUAACCCGAAAACUGCCAUUGAUACUAUCUGUCUUGAAUAUUGUGGAGGUGAGCGGAAUAUGUCAUGUAGCGGUGAAAUGCUUAGAUAUGACAUAGAACACCCAUUGCGAAGGCAGCUCACUACGCAUAUAUUGACGCUGAUGCACGAAAGCGUGGGGAUCAAACAGG
rnacentral:rRNA from 1 species